rnacentral:lncRNA from 1 species
AUGGGAUGACCUGUGCGGGCGGCGGCGGCAGCCUCCUGCCCUCCUCCCCUUCGUGCGCCGGCUGGAGCGAAGAGUUCUUUUGACAGCCGUGAGCUUCCCCGGCAGGAACUUACUGGGGCUGCAUCACCCUAGAAACAUGGCUUUGGGCUGUGGAAACGCUGCUGCCGUGGAAGUCUCUCCUCGCGGGGGUGGACGGGGCGCUGCGCGCCCAGCGUCCUUCUGCGGUUCUCCCAGCCCGUCGCCGCCUCCACCUCGGGGACCUUUGCGGGGAGGCCUCGGGCACGUCCUCGACCUCAGUUGCCACGUGCACAUGCUGGUGCCUUCCAGGUCGGUCUUUCUCCACCAGUCUCCACCUGCAACUUUCUUCCUUUUCGUCCUGUGCUGGCCUAACCCCUGCUCGGCCUCGGCCCUCAGCUGCCGGCUCUAACAAUGCCUCUGUCUUUCCGAGACCCCCGUGACCAGGCUGGAGUAUACUGGCAUGAUCAUAGAUCACUGCAGCCUCAAACUCCUGGGCUCAAGCGAUCCUCCUACCUCAGCCUCCAUAUAGCUGGUGGGAACCAAGUUUCUAACACAUGAAUGUUGGGAGACACAUUCAGACCAUCGCAGUGGCCUUAUAAAAAGAGACACAAGAGCUUGCUCUCUGCCAUGUGAGUAUACCACAAGAAGACUGUCCUCAGCAAAUCAGAAAGCGGGUGGACCCUCAUCAGACACCAGAUGUGCCUGCACCUUGAUCUUGGACUUGCCAGCCUUCAGAACAGUAAGAAAGAAAUGUGUGUUGUUUAAGCCACCCAGUCUAUGGUAACUUGCUAUAGCAGCCCACUAGGAGACCCCAAGAUAUUUAAAAACUCAUCAGCACCUGCUUUCUGCAUCUGGACCCUGAUCUUCUGGUGGGUUUACCAGUUACUUGUAGAGUGUCCCUGUGAUAGUUUUAGGUGUCAACUUGACAUGAUUGAGGGAUGCCUAGAUGGCUGGGGAAGCACUGUUUCUGAAAAGGACCAUGUUUUUGGAGGAGACUGUUUUAUGAGUGAAUUUUGGGGGACACAUUCAGAUCAUGGCAGUGGCAUUAUAAAGAGAGACACAAAAGCUUGCUCUCUCUGCCAUGUGAGACUACCACACAAAGACUGCCAUCUGCAAACCAGAAGCAGGUGGGCUUUCCUCAGACACCAGAUCUGCCUGCACCUUGAUCUUGGACUUGCCAGCCUUCAGAACUCUAAGAAAGAAAUAGUAGCAUGGCUUGGUCUAAGUUGGAAGGCCUGAGAAACAAGCACAUGGUGGAACUGAGUUCAAGGAUAAAGACUUGAGAAUACCUGCUCAGUGGACUGAGUAGGGAAGAUCAACCCUCAAUGUAGGCAAGCACUAUCCAAUCACCUGAGGGCCCAGAUGGAACAAAAAGGUGGAAGAAGGGUGAAUUCUCUCUUCCAGAGCUGUGACACCCUUCUCCUCAUGCCCUUGUACCACACAACUCUAGGUCCUUUGGCCUUUGGACUCUGACACUUGCACCAGUGGCCCUCUGGGGCUCUCAAGCCUUUAGCCUUGAACUUAGUUACACCAUGUGCUUCCUUGUUUCUCAGGCCUUCCAACUUGGAUCAGGCCAUGCCACCAGCUUCUCUGAUUCUCCAGCUUGCAGAUGGCAUAUUGUGACCCUGGCAUUUAAUAACUAUGACUUUGGUCUUAAGCAGUUUUCUUCCUCUGUGGAUUGAUAUUUAGAUAUCAAGGUGGAUAAUAAUUUCUUACCAAGGUAACUGUUGUGAGGUAAAAAUGAGUUAACAUAAGUAAAACCGAGCACAUGCAAACCAUCCGAAAUGGUUAAUACUUACUAUUUGUACUUGAAGAAAUAAAUGUUUUUGACAAUAAACUUCUUGUGCAGUUUUCCUCA